AAUAGAUACCCGGGUAGUCCACGCCGUAAACGAUGUCGACUUGGAGGUUGUGCCCUUGAGGCGUGGCUUCCGGAGCUAACGCGUUAAGUCGACCGCCUGGGGAGUACGGCCGCAAGGUUAAAACUCAAAUGAAUUGACGGGGGCCCGCACAAGCGGUGGAGCAUGUGGUUUAAUUCGAUGCAACGCGAAGAACCUUACCUACUCUUGACAUCCAGAGAACUUAGCAGAGAUGCUUUGGUGCCUUCGGGAACUCUGAGACAGGUGCUGCAUGGCUGUCGUCAGCUCGUGUUGUGAAAUGUUGGGUUAAGUCCCGCAACGAGCGCAACCCUUAUCCUUUGUUGCCAGCGGUUAAGGCCGGGAACUCAAAGGAGACUGCCAGUGAUAAACUGGAGGAAGGUGGGGAUGACGUCAAGUCAUCAUGGCCCUUACGAGUAGGGCUACACACGUGCUACAAUGGCAUAUACAAAGAGAAGCGACCUCGCGAGAGCAAGCGGACCUCAUAAAGUAUGUCGUAGUCCGGA
rnacentral:rRNA from 1 species